rnacentral:rRNA from 1 species
GUGGGGAAUAUUGGACAAUGGGGGGAACCCUGAUCCAGCCAUGCCGCGUGUGUGAAGAAGGCCUUUUGGUUGUAAAGCACUUUAAGCGAGGAGGAGGCUACCGAGAUUAAUACUCUUGGAUAGUGGACGUUACUCGCAGAAUAAGCACCGGCUAACUCUGUGCCAGCAGCCGCGGUAAUACAGAGGGUGCAAGCGUUAAUCGGAUUUACUGGGCGUAAAGGGAGCGUAGGUGGCCAAUUAAGUCAAAUGUGAAAUCCCCGAGCUUAACUUUGGAAUUGCAUUCGAUACUGGUUGGCUAGAGUAUGGGAGAGGAUGGUAGAAUUCCAGGUGUAGCGGUGAAAUGCGUAGAGAUCUGGGGGAAUACCGAUGGCGAAGGCAGCCAUCUGGCCUAAUACUGACACUGAGGUGCGAAAGCAUGGGGAGCAAACAGGAUUAGAAACCCGUGUAGUCC